AGAGACCGGCGCACGGGUGCGUAACGCGUAUGCAAUCUACCUUUCACAAAGGGAUAGCCCAGAGAAAUUUGGAUUAAUACCUUAUAGUAAUACGACUUGGCAUCAAGAUGUAUUUAAAGAUUUAUCGGUGAAUGAUGAGCAUGCGUCCCAUUAGCUAGUUGGUAAGGUAACGGCUUACCAAGGCGACGAUGGGUAGGGGUCCUGAGAGGGAGAUCCCCCACACUGGUACUGAGACACGGACCAGACUCCUACGGGAGGCAGCAGUAAGGAAUAUUGGUCAAUGGAGGCAACUCUGAACCAGCCAUGCCGCGUGCAGGAAGACGGCCCUACGGGUUGUAAACUGCUUUUAUUCGGGAAUAAACCCUUCUACGUGUAGGAGGUUGAAUGUACCGAAAGAAUAAGGAUCGGCUAACUCCGUGCCAGCAGCCGCGGUAAUACGGAGGAUCCAAGCGUUAUCCGGAUUUAUUGGGUUUAGAGGGUGCGUAGGCGGCUUAUUAAGUCAGGGGUGAAAGACGGUGGCUCAACCAUCGCAGUGCCUUUGAUA
rnacentral:rRNA from 1 species